rnacentral:misc_RNA from 1 species
UACGGAGGAUUCAAGCGUUAUCCGGAAUCAUUGGGUUUAAAGGGUCCGUAGGCGGUCUUAUAAGUCAGUGGUGAAAUCUCCUAGCUCAACUAGGAAACUGCCAUUGAUACUGUAAGACUUGAAUUUUUGUGAAGUAACUAGAAUAUGUAGUGUAGCGGUGAAAUGCUUAGAUAUUACGUGGAAUACCAAUUGCGAAGGCAGGUUACUAACAAACGAUUGACGCUGAUGGACGUAAGCGGGGGAGCGAACAGG